AACGCACAUUGCACCCUCUGGUAUUCCGGAGGGUAUGCCUGUUUGAGUGUCAUUAUCAUAUCAACAUAAUUAAACUUGCUUUGAUUAUGUUUGGACUUUGAAGGCUUUGCUAGUUGUCAUAAUUAGCUCCUUUUAAAUGUAUUAGCAGAACUUUGUUGGACUGGCUUCGGUUUGAUAAUUCUAUCUAUGCUGUCGCUGUGUUGCCUCUUGUUCGGCUUCUAAUUGUCUGAUUAUUCAGACUGUCUCGUAGAGGCAUAUAAUUGACUCUUGACCUCAAAUCAGGUAGGGCUACCCGCUGAACUUAA
rnacentral:misc_RNA from 1 species